AGAGUUUGAUCCUGGCUCAGAGCGAACGCUGGCGGCAGGCCUAACACAUGCAAGUCGAACGGAUCCUUCGGGAUUAGUGGCGGACGGGUGAGUAACACGUGGGAACGUGCCUUUUGGUUCGGAACAACUCAGGGAAACUUGAGCUAAUACCGGAUAAGCCUUUCGAGGGAAAGAUUUAUCGCCAUUAGAGCGGCCCGCGUAGGAUUAGCUAGUUGGUGGGGUAAAGGCCCACCAAGGCUACGAUCCUUAGCUGGUCUGAGAGGAUGAUCAGCCACAUUGGGACUGAGACACGGCCCAAACUCCUACGGGAGGCAGCAGUGGGGAAUCUUGCGCAAUGGGCGAAAGCCUGACGCAGCCAUGCCGCGUGAAUGAUGAAGGUCUUAGGAUUGUAAAAUUCUUUCACCGGGGACGAUAAUGACGGUACCCGGAGAAGAAGCCCCGGCUAACUUCGUGCCAGCAGCCGCGGUAAUACGAAGGGGGCUAGCGUUGCUCGGAAUUACUGGGCGUAAAGGGAGCGUAGGCGGAUAGUUUAGUCAGAGGUGAAAGCCCAGGGCUCAACCUUGGAAUUGCCUUUGAUACUGGCUAUCUUGAGUACGGAAGAGGUAUGUGGAACUCCGAGUGUAGAGGUGAAAUUCGUAGAUAUUCGGAAGAACACCAGUGGCGAAGGCGACAUACUGGUCCGUUACUGACGCUGAGGCUCGAAAGCGUGGGGAGCAAACAGGAUUAGAUACCCUGGUAGUCCACGCUGUAAACGAUGAGUGCUAGUUGUCGGCAGGCAUGCCUGUCGGUGACGCAGCUAACGCAUAAGCACUCCGCCUGGGGAGUACGGUCGCAAGAUUAAACUCAAAGGAAUUGACGG
rnacentral:rRNA from 1 species